CGUUAUCAGCACCGACAUGCAAUUCUGGCAGCUGGAAGUCAGCUGAAGCGAUCUGACGUUUCUUGAGGUAGCAGGCAGGGCAAUGACAGACCCAGCAGGGGAAUACCUAGACAUCUAAACCACGAGAGUUUCCAUCGUGAAGCCACCAAUCAAAUAAGGAAGAUAAGCAGGUUGAAACUUCAAAGGAAAAGGUUUGUGAUGCCAUGAUGUCUGAAGACUCCAGGCGGAAUCGGCACCUGGAUCUCCUCAGGGCAGCACUCUGUGCAUCCAGGCUCUGGCUCCCAGCCCGGCACCUGAUCUGUCAGCACCCAUGGCGCGGACUCAGAGGAGCUGCCAGACCCACAUUAAGAAAGACCAGCAGUGCGUGCUCCGUCACUCCGGUUGUGUCCAGCCCUGCGACCCCAUGGACUGUAACCCGCCAGGCUCCUCUGCCCAUGGGACUCUCCAGGCAAGAACACUGAAUGCUUUGCCAUGCCCUCCUUCACAAGAUCUUCCUGACUCAGGGAUUGAACCUGGGUCUCCUGCAUUUCCUCCAUUGCAGGGACAACUCAGUGGCAGAACAACAAUGGGCAGAGCUCAGGAGACUUUCAGAAAGUGCUCGGAGGUUCAGAGGCCAGAGGACUGACUGAGGAAUGGAGCUGGAGCGAUCGCAUGGGACUGGUGACUAAACAAGCAGUGAGUCUAGAGUUUUAAGUUAGAAUGGUGUUUUCAAAUGUUGCACAAUCGAGAACAUCUUUAAGUGUUUGGCCCUGGAAUGCACUCUGGGGUAUCUCUCUUACAACUUGGGGGCAAAGCUACAAAUCAAAGCUGCUGUCAGAUUUAUCGCUGAUAAGUGAAGUCAUAUUCUUUGAUGGAACCAAAGAUUCCAAACCAUCCAGGAGGACAGCAGGACUCCUCAAACAGGGAAUGAAGGGCCUCAAUAAAGAAUGCAUGCAGGUAAAGGGGUAAGCCAGACAGAGACAAAGAGCAUGUGAGAUUGCUUAUUUGUGGAAUCUAAAACAAUGAUGCAGAUGAACUUAUUUACAAAACAGAAAUAGAUUCAUAGACAUAGAAAACAAACUCAUGGUUACCAAAGGGGAUAGCAAGGGUGGUGGGGAGAGAUAAAUUAAGAGUUUGGGAUUAACAUAUACAUACUGCUGCUGCUGCUGCUACUGCUAAGCCACUUCAGUCGUGUUUGACUCUGUGUGACCCCAUAGACGAGAGCCCACCAGGUUCCCCCAUCCCUGGGAUUCUGCAGGCAAGAACAUUGGCUACUUUAUAUAAAAUAGAUAAACAACAAGGAUAUACUGUAUAGAACAGGGAACUCUAC
ensembl:lncRNA